CGCGUGAGUGAAGAAGGCUUCGGGUUGUAAAGCUCUUUCGGCGGGGAAGAAAUGGCAACGGCUAAUAUCCGUUGUUGAUGACGGUACCCGCAUAAGAAGCACCGGCUAACUACGUGCCAGCAGCCGCGGUAAUACGUAGGGUGCGAGCGUUAAUCGGAAUUACUGGGCGUAAAGCGUGCGCAGGCGGUUUCGUAAGACAGACGUGAAAUCCCCGGGCUCAACCUGGGAACUGCGUUUGUGACUGCGAGGCUAGAGUACGGCAGAGGGGGGUAGAAUUCCACGUGUAGCAGUGAAAUGCGUAGAGAUGUGGAGGAAUACCGAUGGCGAAGGCAGCCCCCUGGGUUAGUACUGACGCUCAUGCACGAAAGCGUGGGGAGCAAACAGGAUUAGAUACCCUGGUAUCCACGCCCUAAACGAUGUCA
rnacentral:rRNA from 1 species